rnacentral:rRNA from 1 species
GACGAACGCUGGCGGCGUGCUUAACACAUGCAAGUCGAACGGAAAGGCCCUGCUUGCAGGGUACUCGAGUGGCGAACGGGUGAGUAACACGUGGGUGAUCUGCCCUGCACUUCGGGAUAAGCCUGGGAAACUGGGUCUAAUACCGGAUGGGAGCCAUUUUUAGUGUGAUGGUUGGAAAGUUUUUUCGGUGUAGGAUGAGCUCGCGGCCUAUCAGCUUGUUGGUGGGGUAAUGGCCUACCAAGGCGGCGACGGGUAGCCGGCCUGAGAGGGUGGACGGCCACAUUGGGACUGAGAUACGGCCCAGACUCCUACGGGAGGCAGCAGUGGGGAAUAUUGCACAAGGGGCGCAAGCCUGAUGCAGCGACGCCGCGUGGGGGAUGACGGCCUUCGGGUUGUAAACUCCUUUCGCUAGGGACGAAGCUUUUUGUGACGGUACCUAGAUAAGAAGCACCGGCUAACUACGUG